UUUUGGCAGAGAAGAGUGGGAUAGGAGGAGGUGGCCACGGAGCCUGAAUCAGAAAGACACAGAUGCCCAGAUAGUGGAACGCCACAUGUUGCUGGUGACUGUACCAGGAGACCAUGCAGCAUUUGCCAGUGAGGAGAACGGGGCAGCAGAAAGAGACGCUUCCUGCCACUUCACACAAUUUUGUGAUUUGUGUGUGUGUGUGUGAGUUUUGAAUCAUAUUAAUUCUGUCCCGCUGAUUGACAGAGCCACUGGCUGCAACUUGAUAGGGGCCUUGGAGACUGAUAACUGCACUGGAACUUUCCCGCUGCUCUGCGGGGUGUGCCACUUGGGAAGCCUGCAUCUCCUAGCCUUGGGAGAGAACUGGGCAAAGUGUGGGGAGGGAGAGUCCUCAUGGAUCCACAGGAGAAGAGGUGACAGGCUGCAUUCCUCUAUGAGACAACACUUUCUCUUGGAGUCCCAGCCUCUGCUGAGUUAGAGGGCAGCAUUGGGAGAGUCCCUCUGGGGACGCACAGGCACACCGGCAUGCCUUCUUCAGCCACACAUUUGUGAAGGCGAGUGUUUGAGAAAACCACCACAUAGCUAUCAGUUCACCCAGACUAGGAUCCAGAGAGAUUCUUUGCUGAAUGGCUGCUUCUACAGAAGAAACCCCCAUGAAAUGUCUGAGCUUUAGAUCUGCCAGCCCAGUACCAUUUUUGAUCUCUGAUGGGCAUGAGGGGUGAGUGUUAGCACUAUGAGGAAAAAGUUGAGAUUUUUGUCUUCUCCCUUCUGUUUCCUAUCGGUUUCUC